CCUACGGGAGGCAGCAGUAGGGAAUAUUGCACAAUGAGGGAAACCCUGAUGCAGCAACGCCGCGUGCACGAUGAAGGUUUUCGGAUUGUAAAGUCCUUUUGUUAGGGAAGAUAAUGACCGUAUCUAACGAAUAAGCACCGGCUAACUCCGUGCCAGCAGCCGCGGUCAUACGGAGGGUGCAAGCGUUACUCGGAAUCACUGGGCGGAAAGGUCGCGUAGGCGGGUUAGCAAGUCAGAUGUUAAAUCCGAGGGAUUAACCCCAGGAUUGCUUUUGAUACUGGCAUACUAGAGUAUGGGAGAGGUAGGCGGAAUUCCUGGUGUAGCGGUAAAAUCCGUAGAGAUCAAGAGGAAUACUCAAGGCGAAGGCGACCUGCUAGAACAUAACUGACGCUGAGGCGCGAAAGCGUGGGGAGCAAACAGGAUUAGAUACCCUAGUAGUC
rnacentral:rRNA from 1 species